CUUAGAAGCAGCCAUACCUUUAAAGAGUGCGUAAUAGCUCACUGGUCGAGUACUUAAGCGCCGAUAAUGUAACGGGGCUAAACACAUUACCGAAGCUUUGGAUCUUGACGAAAGUUAAGAUGGUAGGGGAGCGUUCUGUAAGCCAGAGAAGUUAAGCUGGAAAGUUUGAUGGAGGUAUCAGAAGUGAGAAUGCAGGUAUGAGUAACGAAAAAAUGGGUGAGAUCCCCAUUCGCCGAAAACCUAAGGUUUCCUGGGUAAAGGUCGUCUUCCCAGGGUUAGUCGGCCCCUAAGGCAAAGCUGAAAAGUGUAGUCGAUGGGAAACGGGUUAAUAUUCCCGUACCUCUUAUAGUUUCGAUGGAGUGACGCAUGAGGUUAACUACUGCUAGGCGAUGGUUGUCCUAGUUUAAGCAUUAAGGUUAUGAUCUUAAUAGGAAAAUCCGUUAAGAGAGCUGAGAUGUGAUGAUGAGUGUUAUUUAGGUAGCAUGAAAUGUAGGUAGUCAAGGUGCCAAGAAAUAACUUCUAAGGUUAGGCUAUAAGGGACCGUACCGCAAACCGACACAGGUAGGUGGGAUGAAAAUUCUAAGGCGCGCGAGAGAAUCCACGUUAAGGAACUCUGCAAAAUACGUACGUAACUUCGGGAUAAGUACGACCUAAGCAAUUAGGUAGCAUAAAAAUGGUCCAAACGACUGUUUACCAAAAACACAGGUCUCUGCAAAUCUGUAAAGAGAAGUAUAGGGACUGACACCUGCCCGGUGCUGGAAGGUUAAGAGGAGAUGUUAGUUUAUUCGAAGCAUUGAAUUUAAGCCCCAGUAAACGGCGGCCGUAACUAUAACGGUCCUAAGGUAGCGAAAUUCCUUGUCGGGUAAGUUCCGACCCGCACGAAUGGUGUAACGAUUUGGACGCUGUCUCAACGUGGAGCUCGGUGAAAUUGAAGUAUCGGUGAAGAUGCCGAUUACUUGUGGUUAGACGGAAAGACCCCGUGAACCUUUACUAUAGCUUGGUAUUGAGAUUUGAUUAAAUAUGUGUAGGAUAGGUGGGAGACUUUGAAGCUAUCUCGUUAGGGAUAGUGGAGUCAAUCUUGAAAUACCACCCUUGUUUAAUUAAGUUUCUAACUUAUAGAAAUAUAAGGAGAGUGCCAGGUGGGUAGUUUGACUGGGGCGGUCGCCUCCUAAA
rnacentral:rRNA from 1 species